GGGCAGUUCAACCACCAAAAUCAAUUAGGAAAAGGUGUAAGCCUAUUUCCUUUCAAAUCUGUCCAAUACAGAACACAUUAAUAUACAAACUAAUUUCCUGUCUAAAUUACAAAAAUGGAUAAAAAAAUCAGAGUAAGAAAACAAAAGAGGGUUUGCAAGCUUUACAAUCAAACCCUAGGGAUUUUGAUUGAACGACGCCACUGGUGGUAGAUGAUUCUGGAGUAGACGCUUUGUCUCUUGCUUUUGAAGGGUUGUCUAUCUUCUUGUUCUUGGCAGCAACAACACCUGCAGUCGGAGUUGGCGUCUGGCGGUUGGCUGUUGAUCGAGUUGGAGUUGGAGUUGGUGUUGGUCGCACUCACACCAGCCACCGAUGAUGGAGCAGUUAGAUGUGGCACUUGCACUUCCUUGUCAGCGUUCCUUCGUGGGUUAGUAAAUCAAAAACAUCGGGCGUGGGUUAGUGAAUAAAAAACGUAGCACAAACAUCACACCAGCCACAUCGACAAGCUCUCCUCAGUCAUCCAUGAACCAAGAUCAAUUCAUCCAUCCAUCAGAAGAUAAAUAAGUACUUCGGGACCAAUAGAAGAAAUGGAGUCUGCUCACCUUCCUUGGUCACCAUCCGAGUUUGUCGGCGUCUGAGAAUCCAUGGCUAUCAGUUCGUCACCGUCCUGGCGGCUGGGCUCCUAGUAGUCGGCGCCUCAGUGGUGUCAGGCCUGAAUCCGGUCAGGGGGAGGUGCGCCGGUGUCAGCUGCGGUGGCCAGUGUCAGCUCCGGUCAAGAACAGGCGUGUUGUGUGCAGGUGCGGCGCCCGCCGACGCAGGCACAGCCGCCCAGCAAACCGCGUCCGCGUAGGUUGUAGCCUGUAGGGUUUGUUUUUUUUGCUUGUGCUAUCGCUACGUGCGGUGGUGCCUGGAUGCCUGAUGGGAUGGUGUGAAUGUGUGAUGACGUGCUAGCCUACUGCCCUGCUGGGCUUG
rnacentral:lncRNA from 1 species